UCCCCUGUAGCUCAGUUGGUAGAGCAGCUGACUGUUAAUCAGCGGGUCGUUGGUUCGAGUCCAACCGGGGGAG
rnacentral:tRNA from 1 species